rnacentral:RNase_P_RNA from 1 species
CGAGCGGACUGAGCAGUCGCGUGCGGCAACGCAUGAGGAAAGUCCGAGCUCCGCAGGGCGGGAUAACGGCUAACGGCCGCCGAGGGUGACCUCAGGGAAAGUGCAACAGAGAUAUACCGCCGCCGCUUUUGCGGCGGUAAGGGUGGAAAGGCGAGGUAAGAGCUCACCGGCGCAUCGGAGACGGUGCGGCCCUGCAAACCCUAUCCGGAGCAACGCCGACUGAAGCGAUACAUUUGCCCGAUGUGCUUCGACGGGCGGCUGGAGCUGUCUGGUAACAGGCAGUCGAGAUAGAUGACUGUUCACGACAGAACUCGGCUUAUAGGUCCGCUCGGAAA